UUUCCCAUUCCUUGAUGAAACUAGUUAUUAGAGACUACAAAAUUGUCAUUAACAAAUAAAAAUCAACUAAAAAUACUAGUAAAGCCAAAAGAAUAAAAAAAUCAACUAGAAUUUCUUUUUAUUUUUCAAAAGCAUACAUACAUUCAGCUCCUAUAGCUUUAGGCCGCCCCAAUACAUGUAAAUCUUGUUUGCGAAACAUAAUAGGUAAGCUUGGUUGAUUUUGGUUUUAAGAAAAAAAAUUUGAAAGCUAAAGGUGAGCAAUUGCUGACCAAAUUAAUGAUUUCAAUUCAUCUGCAAUAAUUUUCAGUAUUUUCUAGGGGAAUGUUGAAAGGGGAAACCAAAAAGCCUAGCUAAAUCAGAUCUUUUUUAUGGUAUUAGAAGAUGGAAGGCCUUCCAAGCGAAUGUAGUCAUACAUGAUGCCCUGGAAAGGGCUGGUACUGCUUGCUUGGGUUAAAAAAAUUGUGUUAUUCCCUUGAAUAAUCUGAGCUCCUGGUAUAUCAAUAUUAAAGAGCCUGUAUAUCCCAUGAAUGCCAUGCCUUGCAAUUGUGUUGUCCUUGCCAAAUAUUCCGGUUGAAAAUAGAGAAGAAUUCGCAUUCGGAUCAUUAAUUCGUACCUGCAAAUCUGCAACAUUUGCUGUUGCAAGUGCCAAACGAAGUUUAUAAGUCCCACACUGAUCAACUCCAUCUAGCUUGAACUUGAUUUGCCAUGUAGUUCCUUGAUAUGUGUUGUUAUUAAUCUUCCUACAAUGCAAUAUCAAAAAGAUGACCCAGAGCAUAACGCAUCCCACCUGGAUGCAUUUAAGCAACAAUCGAUCACUAUAAUUCAAGAAAUCGGCUUAGCAGAUGAACCUGGUUACUUGUUGGAAAAACCAAUCUUUUGCGUAAUCACUUGUGCCAAUUGUGAACACCAAAUCUCCAUCAGGAUACAACUCUGUAUAUCUUUCCCAUAAUCCAUACUGUCUAAACCUGUCAGUGUGAUUGAGAUAAAGCUUGUUAACAUAAUUUGGAUUAGGAUCUGGAAUGUAGAAUUCUGCUGCAGAACGAUCAGGAAUACCUAUUUCCCACAGUGUGGAGCCAUUCCUUGGAGGCUCAUAUACAAGAUCGCCAAUGGUAAUAUCGCAACCUGCUGAUAUGUUAAUAACAGUGUCAUAUUUGUAAUCUCCAAUAAAUCCAGGAACCCAUGCAUAGAGAUUGUAGCCACCAGGCCUUACAUUACUGAUUGUGAAUUGCCCAUCUUCAUCUGCUUUGACCCAGAACUGGUAACCCUUGGAUUCUAAUUGCCAGGAACCAACAUCACCUGGGGGUGCCAGCCCCACAUAAGCUCCAUCUGCAGGAAUGUUCUCAUCGCUGAGAUGCCUAUCUAUGACUAGCAAUCUGCCACAGACAUUACCCCGUUGAUCCGACGGUGAAAAAUCUUGGGAAGCAGGGAAGUCAUAGGGCCAGCAUUGAACUUCAAGCAUCAUCUAAAUUAAUUUUUAUUUUUUGUAUGAAUAUGGAUAUAGUUGACUAAGAAAAGGUGAAAAAUGAUUCAGGAGAAACCUGCUUUUUAGCAUCUUGCCAAAGAGAAAGAGGGUCACCGUGGUCCGACAAUGAAUUAAGAUAGACAAAAACAGGGCCAAAUACUUUCUUCCAUGGCUCAUUCGCUCCAAAUUUUGCUAUCAUGUCUGCUCCCACAUAAUGAGUGCUGUGAAAUACCGAGAGGGUUGUAGGGCCCACAUGGGAGGUAAGAAACUGCUUUAAGGGCCCACCAGACCUGAACUCAUAACUGGGUGUAAUUAGCCAGAAACCAACGGCAGAGUCAUUGCUGAUCCACCCGUGAACCCCAUUGUUCCUACUCUCACAUGAGUAUUCGUAUUUGUCAUCUACCUCUCCCUUAAAUUCAGGUUCAAUUGGAUUAACGAGCAAGACAGCCUCUGGAUACGCUAGAACUUGACCUCUGCCCUCCAAUCGGUCAUUAGGUAAUGGCAUGUAUCUUUGCCUGUCAUCUGCUAUGGCCAUAUAGUGAAACUUGUCUUUUCUAAGCUUGAAUGCAAUCCUUGUAUUAUCAAGGUCAAAAGCUGGCCACUCCUUCAAGUGCUCAUAAAUGGCGUAAGUGUAAAAGCCUGACGAACCACUAAGUAUUACAUACCUUUUGUCAAUAUUCAAUGGAACAAUCUUCCCAUGAAGGGAUGAAUUCCAUGUUCUUGUGAAUGAGAGUUCUAUUUGUUCCUCAUUUUGUAGUAUCACCUUAAAACUUGUUCCAUCCAUCCUGUCAAAAUUACCCUUUUUUCGUGUAGUUGAUUCAUCACUCCAUACAAGAUCCCAAUACCCUCUAUCAGCUUCAUCGUUAAGAACUUCGAGCAAAUUGCUGAGGCCAUUGUACUGUAUUCCAGUGAUGAAUCCUUCUGGGUUUGAUAUUGUGAGCUGGAGGAAGCCAUUAUCCACCACCACAUAGUUUUCUUGAAUUUGAAGUCGCACAGCCUCUGGAAUUUCUUGGUGGACAUGAAAACCUGAUGAACUUGAAUUCUGAACCUGCUGCUGAGAUGAAGAGAAUGAACCAGGGAGCUCUGAGAGAAAGAAACAGAGGGACAAUGAAAAGAUGAUAAAGAAUCUGUGUGAACCCAUGAUAUAGAAAAAAAAAAAUUAAUGAUAGCAUAUAUUUUUCUCUAUUCUUGCCUCUUUUCAGAACCUCCCCAUAUAAGGUUUCGGUUCCUCUGCUUAUAUAGAGCAGAUGGGAAGAAAGGAAUAUGGAAAAUAAUAAUUCCCCAGGUUUGCCAAAAGGCAAGCGAAUCUUGCUUAUUUGCAGUUUAUAAAGGGAAUUAAUGCUAAUAUUUGAAGGUUGGGAUACGGAAUUUCUGCAUUUCUCUCGCCUUAUAAUUAUUUCCUUAAAGCCAUU
rnacentral:misc_RNA from 1 species